CAGACAGGCCAGUCUGAAUGAGGCUGCUGAAAGGUAUUAUGGGAAGGCAGCAGAUUUAAGACCUGAUCAUCCAGCAGCUCUGAUGAAUCUCGGGGCGAUCCUCCAUCUUAAUGGGAAGCUGAAGGAAGCUGAGAGCAACUACCUCCGUGCGCUGCAGCUCAAACCAGACGACUUCAUCACUCAGUCCAACCUCCACAAACUCUGGAAUGUCAUGCAGAAACAGGGUCUACGAGCCUCCGGGACGUGAUCGGCUGCUGGAACAUGUGCUGAUUAUUUCAUCUGUGGACGUCUGAUCUGAUUUUGAGCUGGAAUUUUCUGCUGGUUCAGUGCUUAUGGACAGAUGUUGGUGGAACUGGUAAAAACUUGAACUAGUCUGGAGGUAGGGAAUGAAGAAGGAGCCUCUGUGAAGUUCUGCUUUGGACAGUAAAAACCCCUACAAGAAUAGUAAAGUGCACAAACACAGAAGAGAUGGUUUGUAACAUGUAUUCUUCUGAGAGCACUGACCAUGUUGUAUUUAGGUGAUAUUUUUUUCCCUACUGCAGUCUUUUUUUUUUCUUUAAUGACUUUAAAAAAGAGUUGAGAUUGUCAUUAUGCUGGUAUUUAAUAUGCCUCCUCUUAAUUUAUUGUUGAUCAAUGAACAGUUUGUCACCUACAAUUGUUGUUAAUAAAACUUAAAUUCUCAGUA